rnacentral:ncRNA from 2 species
UGAGGGCGUCGCGACUGGCGUUGAGGUGGGGAACCACCGGGGAGCGACCGCCUGACGGUAUCCGACCGCACGCCUGGGUCGGUGCG